rnacentral:rRNA from 1 species
UACGUAGGGGGCAAGCGUUGUCCGGAAUUAUUGGGCGUAAAGCGCGCGCAGGCGGCCUCUUAAGUCUGAUGUGAAAGCCCACGGCUCAACCGUGGAGGGUCAUUGGAAACUGGGAGACUUGAGUGUAGGAGAGGAAAGUGGAAUUCCACGUGUAGCGGUGAAAUGCGUAGAGAUGUGGAGGAACACCAGUGGCGAAGGCGACUUUCUGGCCUAUAACUGACGCUGAGGCGCGAAAGCUAGGGGAGCAAACAGG